rnacentral:rRNA from 1 species
CGGACGGGUGAGUAACGCGUGAGAAUCUGCCUUCAGGUCGGGGAUAACAGCUGGAAACGGCUGCUAAUACCGGAUGAGCCGAGAGGUAAAAGCAAAAGUGCCUGAAGAUGAGCUCGCGUCUGAUUAGCUAGUUGGUGGGGUAAGAGCCUACCAAGGCGACGAUCAGUAGCUGGUCUGAGAGGAUGAUCAGCCACACUGGGACUGAGACACGGCCCAGACUCCUACGGGAGGCAGCAGUGGGGAAUUUUCCGCAAUGGGCGCAAGCCUGACGGAGCAAUACCGCGUGAGGGAGGAAGGCCCUUGGGUUGUAAACCUCUUUUGUCAGGGAAGAAGGUCUGACGGUACCUGACGAAUCAGCAUCGGCUAACUCCGUGCCAGCAGCCGCGGUAAUACGGAGGAUGCAAGCGUUAUCCGGAUUUAUUGGGCGUAAAGGGUCCGCAGGUGGUUAUUCAAGUCUGCUGUCAAAGCGCGGAGCUUAACUCCGUACAGGCGGUGGAAACUGAGGAACUAGAGUCUGGUAGGGGUCGCGGGAAUUCCCAGUGUAGCGGUGAAAUGCGUAGAUAUUGGGAAGAACACCGGCGGCGAAAGCGCGCGACUGGACCGGAGCUGACACUGAGGGACGAAAGCUAGGGGAGCGAAAGGGAUUAGAUACCCCUGUAGUC